rnacentral:misc_RNA from 1 species
AAAAAAAAAAGGCCGAUAGUAAAUACAAACUACACUGAUAAGUAAGAAACAGAGAGCAACUCAAAUCAUCAACCAAAUAGCAGUUCACAUUCCUAGAAAACAUUCUCUCUAUUUCACUCAAUAACCACACCUCAGAAGAAGGCAACAAAAAAUUUCUUCCUAAAAUGCUCUCUGAACAAUAACCUCAGCACCAAAUCAACAUCAACUACAAUUUUAAAAACAGGACCCUUUUUUUUCAAAAAAAAAUUGUGCAUUUGUUCUGCACAAUCUCACACAAUUUAAAAUUGGAGCAUCACAUGAGUCUAGACCAAGUAUGAUCUUAAACGGAAAAACCAAACCCUAGCGACAGCCUACAAACUAAUAAAUUUCACAAAAAUUAACCAUUCCUCCUCGUCCUAACCAAAAGAAACAAAAGCUAUAAAGCCGAUCGAAAAUACAACAAAAAUAAGAUCUACAAUACAUCAAUACCAAAGUUAUUAAACACGCACAAUGAAAAAGAUCUUCAAUGUUAUUUCAUGGCACGAGAUCCGAGUUAAAGAAGGACAUCUAUUGUAAUCUCACUUGAUAUAAAUGACAAAAGAAGAAAUUCAAGUGGUCCCCUUCCUUAAACCAAUUGGCUUAGAAGAGGUAAAUUCGCCGUCCCGCAUCUCGUUAUUCACUUUCUAAUUGGAUCGUACAAGAUUCUCGGCAACCAACCAGAGAUUGUAGAGAAGAAAAUGGAGGAUUGAUUAGCAUUUAGAAGAAAAAUUUUACCCGGAUCUUAGCGAGGACGCCCU